rnacentral:rRNA from 1 species
GACGAACGCUGGCGGCGUGCCUAAUACAUGCAAGUAGAACGCUGAAGAGAGGAGCUUGCUCUUCUUGGAUGAGUUGCGCACGGGUGAGUAACGCGUAGGUAACCUGCCUUGUAGCGGGGGAUAACUAUUGGAAACGAUAGCUAAUACCGCAUAACAAUAGGUGACACAUGUCAUUUAUUUGAAAGGGGCAAUUGCUCCACUACAAGAUGGACCUGCGUUGUAUUAGCUAGUAGGUGAGGUAACGGCUCACCUAGGCGACGAUACAUAGCCGACCUGAGAGGGUGAUCAGCCACACUGAGACUGAGACACGGCCCAGACUCCUACGGGAGGCAGCAGGAGGGAAUCUUCGGCAAUAGGGGCAAAACUGACCGAGCAACGCCGCGUGAGUGAAGAAGGUUGUCGGAUCGUAAAGCUCGGUUGUAAGUCAAGAACGAGUGUGAGAGUGGAAAGUUCACACUGUGACGGUAGCUUACCAGAAAGGGACGGCUAACUACGUG